CCUCUCUCCGUCUCCACGAGACAGCGCCCCUUCCCACGCCUCCUUUUCGUUUUUUUCCUCUCUCGUGGAGGUGGCGUAGGGUUUGAGGACGGCGAGAUCUCGCCGUCGUCGUAGGAGGAGAGCGGCGGCGGAGGACUCCCCCGGCGCUGACACACCACCGGGGCCGGCUGUCACCGCCAUGCUGCCGGCGCACUCCCGCCGGGCCGCAGGUCCUCUCCUUUAUUGGCUUGGUUCUCUUCAGGCUAUUGGUAAGUUCUAGAUCUGCUCGAUUGUGCGGGUUCCCACACAUUUUUCUGAUGAUGCUUGCCCUCCUAUUUCAUGGCUUGCUUGUGCGGCUUGCUCGGUUCCUGUUGUCUGCUGGCUUCCUCUGAUCUCCACGCCGCCGCUGUUUCCUCCGUCAUUAGCUGAUUCCAGCCCUCCCCCAAUUCUGCCCUGCCGCAUAUGUCGACAUCAAAUCCGGUUUUUUUUCUACUGCGUCGUCGUCGUCAAGGGAAUCUGGGCGACGGUUUGGAUGCUCUCUCUCCAGCGGGCUGAGACCUCACAGAUUAGUUUGGGUUAAUUUCCUAUAAAGGUUCAGAUCUUGCCUUUUUGCAAGCAUCUGCUGUCGAGAUGUGUUCUUUCCCUUAGAUGCAGCAAUCAUACCAAAACAAGCUGCUUAAGGUCCUCACUGAUUAAUAUCUAAUAUACUAUUAGUUUUUGUAUGAACUUUUAUCUACAGUGCAUUUGAGGACUUAAGUAGCGAGCUGUUAAGGUCCAUGCUGAUUAAUAUCUGAUAUGCAUUUUGCAUGAGCCUCUCUAUUCAACAAAUCCGAGAAUAUGAAUAAUGAACUUAUCUGUACAAUGUAUCAAAAAACAUGCUGAGCAUUGGUGUCUAUUCUGAUUACAAUCUGUAGCUUGCCAAUUGAGUGGUAACUGGUAAGACAUUUAGUUCCUGCUUCGUGAGAAAUAAUUUGCUUAUUAUACCUCUUUUGCUAAGUAAUAUUUGAGUCUUUGUUCUCAUGCUAUUAUUGCUAUAAUCAGCCGUUAAUAUUCAUAGCUACCGGCGGAGUAUGACUGCAUUAGCCACCUUUUAUCAUGUUCACUGACAGUAAAUUUAAAUAGAAACUACUGUUGCUAUCUUCUAUCCAUUUAUUCUGCUCCUAUUUUAAUUGUACCUUUUUUAUUUUAUUUGCAAGAUCAGAUCUGCCAUUACAAAUUAUUUCAACUGCAAACUGCAGAGUACUUGAACAUUUGAUUUCGCUUGUGACAUUACCUCUAAUUGCCAUUACAAAUAGGUGCCCAUACUUCUGCAAAUAGAAGUGCAAAGUGCAUAGCCGUAUUUUUGAAGACAUCAGUAAACUAGCAGAGAAAACUUUAUUUCGAAAUUGAAAGUAUACAUGAUUAGGCUUACCAGUUUAUUUUUUGAAAGUGCUUUCCAGUUUAUUCAUAGAGCAAAGUGCAACACAUUGGCGCAUUUUUUACCCUAACUUGAAAUACAUGACCCAUGUUCUAUUAUAUCCAUGGUUACAUGACUUUUGAUGCAGUCAUAACAUGUGACUGAUGGGGUUUUUCCCCCUAAAUUGGUUUCUACUGCAGUCAUUUUUAUGCUGUUAAUAAUCAGAAAAAUGUAUUUUCAUUUACAUGCUUGGCUGAUAGUUAUGGUACACAAGCUACCAAAUAAAAAUAUUCUCAGAGUAGCAGCAAUAGGGAGACAUGGUUUUCAUAAAUUUUUCUAAUAACACAGGUCUGCAGUUAUAUGGCAUCACAUAGGCUGUAAAAGAAUGAAAUAUGAAUAUGUGGUAGGACUGAACUUCAAAAUUAUGAGUAUGAUCUAUUGUGGUCAGGUUUCUGACUCAUUUCUCUUACAUGUUUCAAGGCAUUUGGCUUAGAUCGAUUGAUAUGGGCAAUUGGGCAUGCAGACAUGAACAUUGUUGAUAGAUUUGAACUUGAGUAAGGAUAAAGUUAAAAGAAUGAAGCAAGAACUGGCCACUAAAAAGAUUGACAAAUUAUAUGCGUCCAGAGUGUUCCCGCUGUCUUAGACGCUCUAUUCUCCUGGCGCGGCGUAGCGCGCCUUCCUUCCUAGUGCACAGGAUUCGCGUGCAUAUUCUCGAGGACAUUUUGGGCGGCUGGCCAUCUCUCCCCGGGCCCUGACCCUUCCCCGACUUGACUCGUCUUCCCGGGCCAGCAGCCUUCAUGCAUACCUUCAAUGGCGUCGGAAGAUUCCUGCAGGGGGCUAAAACGGGUGGUGUGCGGUGUGCCUGGAUCGAGCAGGUUUCAUGGUGUAGCCAUAUGUGAGCAGGAUAACACCACAAGUACUGCAUGCUGCUGCUAGUGCUACUUAUCUCCAGGGGCGGAGCCAGGAAUUUCAAAUGAGAGGGGCCAAGCAGCCAUUUGGAGGGGGCCAAAAGAGUGCUGAUCCCUCCAUCAUCCAGCAGGAGCAGAGUUCCCCUUCCCCUCCAACAUUCAGCUACGGCAGGAUAAAGUCAAGGUCCAUUCAUGCUGGAUCAAGUCAAGGUCCAGCCUAUCAUGACAUGCUAUAAUUCAUUGUUAGAGCGGGUGGAUUAAUAUUUACAUGUCAUAUUUUUGUAAGCGCUGAACUUUUUUUUUCACCAAAAGUGAAAGCUUGUAGUAACUGCUUGUGUGCAGCUUGUUGAAGUCCCAUGAAUGUUGCUUCAGGCCUUGUUUAGAUGUGUAAAGUUUUGGGUGUAAAGUACUGUAACAUUUUGUUUGUAUUUGGUAAUUAUUGUUCCGUCAUAGAUUAAUUAGUUUCAAAAAAUUCGUCUCGGAAAUUAUAAAUAAACUGUGUAAUUAGUUAUUUUGUUUAGCUACAUUUAAUAGUUCAUGUGUUGAAAUAUUCGAUA